UAGAAAAUAGUAUAACUGGAAGUACGAAGAGUUUUGAUCUCUUGGAUAUAGGUUCAAGUCCUAUUUUUCUAG
rnacentral:tRNA from 1 species